rnacentral:rRNA from 1 species
GACGAACGCUGGCGGCGCGCCUAACACAUGCAAGUCGAACGAGCGAGAGGAGGUUUACUUUCUCAAGCGAGUGGCGAACGGGUGAGUAACGCGUGAGGAACCUGCCUCAAAGAGGGGGACAACAGUUGGAAACGACUGCUAAUACCGCAUAAGCCCACGACCCGGCAUCGGGUAGAGGGAAAAGGAGCAAUCCGCUUUGAGAUGGCCUCGCGUCCGAUUAGCUAGUUGGUGAGGUAAUGGCCCACCAAGGCGACGAUCGGUAGCCGGACUGAGAGGUUGAACGGCCACAUUGGGACUGAGACACGGCCCAGACUCCUACGGGAGGCAGCAGUGGGGAAUAUUGCACAAUGGGGGAAACCCUGAUGCAGCGACGCCGCGUGGAGGAAGAAGGUCUUCGGAUUGUAAACUCCUGUUGUUGAGGAAGAUAAUGACGGUACUCA